CAUGCACCAGUGGGGUCCCUCGGCCUGGCCUGUGCCCUCUUGAAAUCCAGGACCCCUCAGGGGAUGUCCUAGAGCCAAUUUCAGCCCAAUCCCUCAGGCCAGGCCGAGGGACCCCACUGGUGCACG
rnacentral:pre_miRNA from 1 species